rnacentral:rRNA from 1 species
CGCGUAGGCGGGGAUACAAGUCAGGUGUGAAAUCUAUGGGCUUAACCCAUAAACUGCACUUGAAACUGUAUCUCUUGAGUGUCGGAGAGGUAGACGGAAUUCCUAGUGUAGCGGUGAAAUGCGUAGAUAUUAGGAGGAACACCAGUGGCGAAGGCGGCUUACUGGACUGAAACUGACGCUGAGGUGCGAAAGCCAGGGGAGCGAACG